rnacentral:rRNA from 1 species
GACGAACGCUGGCGGCGUGCCUAAUACAUGCAAGUAGAACGCUGAAGGAGGAGCUUGCUCUUCUGGAUGAGUUGCGAACGGGUGAGUAACGCGUAGGUAACCUGCCUGGUAGCGGGGGAUAACUAUUGGAAACGAUAGCUAAUACCGCAUAAGAGUAGAUGUUGCAUGACAUUUACUUAAAAGGUGCAAUUGCAUCACUACCAGAUGGACAUGCGUUGUAUUAGCUAGUUGGUGGGGUAACGGCUUACCAAGGCGACGAUACAUAGCCGACCUGAGAGGGUGAUUGGCCACACUGGGACUGAGACACGGCCCAGACUCCUACGGGAGGCAGCAGUAGGGAAUCUUCGGCAAUGGACGGAAGUCUGACCGAGCAACGCCGCGUGAGUGAAGAAGGUUUUCGGAUCGUAAAGCUCUGUUGUAAGAGAAGAACGAGUGUGAGAGUGGAAAGUUCACACUGUGACGGUAUCUUACCAGAAAGGGACGGCUAACUACGUG